GUGGGGAAUAUUGGACAAUGGGGGGAACCCUGAUCCAGCCAUGCCGCGUGUGUGAAGAAGGCCUUUUGGUUGUAAAGCACUUUAAGCGAGGAGGAGGCUACCGAGAUUAAUACUCUUGGAUAGUGGACGUUACUCGCAGAAUAAGCACCGGCUAACUCUGUGCCAGCGGCCGCGGUAAUACAGAGGGUGCAAGCGUUAAUCGGAUUUACUGGGCGUAAAGCGCGCGUAGGUGGCCAAUUAAGUCAAAUGUGAAAUCCCCGAGCUUAACUUGGGAAUUGCAUUCGAUACUGGUUGGCUAGAGUAUGGGAGAGGAUGGUAGAAUUCCAGGUGUAGCGGUGAAAUGCGUAGAGAUCUGGAGGAAUACCGAUGGCGAAGGCAGCCAUCUGGCCUAAUACUGACACUGAGGUGCGAAAGCAUGGGGAGCAAACAGGAUUAGAUACCCUAGUAGUCC
rnacentral:rRNA from 1 species